rnacentral:rRNA from 1 species
GACGAACGCUGGGGGCGCGCCUAACACAUGCAAGUCGAACGAGAGAGAAGGAGCUUGCUUCUUCAAUCGAGUGGCGAACGGGUGAGUAACGCGUGAGGAACCUGCCUCAAAGAGGGGGACAACAGUUGGAAACGACUGCUAAUACCGCAUAAGCCCACGGGUCGGCAUCGACCAGAGGGAAAAGGAGUGAUCCGCUUUGAGAUGGCCUCGCGUCCGAUUAGCUAGUUGGUGAGGUAACGGCCCACCAAGGCGACGAUCGGUAGCCGGACUGAGAGGUUGAACGGCCACAUUGGGACUGAGACACGGCCCAGACUCCUACGGGAGGCAGCAGUGGGGAAUAUUGCACAAUGGGGGAAACCCUGAUGCAGCGACGCCGCGUGGAGGAAGAAGGUCUUCGGAUUGUAAACUCCUGUUGUUGAGGAAGAUAAUGACGGUACUCAACAAGGAAGUGACGGCUAACUACGUGCCAGCAGCCGCGGUAAAACGUAGGUCACAAGCGUUGUCCGGAAUUACUGGGUGUAAAGGGAGCGCAGGCGGGAAGACAAGUUGGAAGUGAAAUCCAUGGGCUCAACCCAUGAACUGCUUUCAAAACUGUUUUUCUUGAGUAGUGCAGAGGUAGGCGGAAUU